UACGAAGGGUGCAAGCGUUACUCGGAAUCACUGGGCGUAAAGCGCGCGCAGGCGGUCCUUUAAGUCUGAUGUGAAAGCCCACGGCUCAACCGUGGAGGGUCAUUGGAAACUGGGGGACUUGAGUGCAGAAGAGGAGAGCGGAAUUCCACGUGUAGCGGUGAAAUGCGUAGAGAUGUGGAGGAACACCAGUGGCGAAGGCGGCUCUCUGGUCUGUAACUGACGCUGAGGCGCGAAAGCGUGGGGAGCGAACAGG
rnacentral:rRNA from 1 species